AGCAGCCGCGGUAAUUCCAGCUCCAAUAGCGUAUAUUAAAGUUGUUGCAGUUAAAAAGCUCGUAGUUGAAUUUCGGGAUCAGUAGGUCGGUCAUGCCUAUGGUAUGUACUGGCUUUACUGGUUCCUCCUUCUUGAUGAUCUGUAAUGUCAUUAAUUUGGUGUUGCAGGGAGUCAGGACUGUUACUUUGAAAAAAUUAGAGUGUUUAAAGCAGGCAUACGCUUGAAUACAUUAGCAUGGAAUAAUGAAAUAGGACGUUCGAUCCUAUUUUGUUGGUUUCUAGGAUUGACGUAAUGAUUAAUAGGGAUAGUUGGGGGCAUUAGUAUUCAAUUGUCAGAGGUGAAAUUCUUGGAUUUAUUGAAGACUAACUACUGCGAAAGCAUUUGCCAAGGAUGUUUUCAUUAAUCAAGAACGAAAGUUAGGGGAUCGAAGACGAUCAGAUACCGUCGUAGUCUUAACCAUAAACUAUGCCGACUAGGGAUCGGAUGAUGUUAUUUUUAAUGACUCA
rnacentral:rRNA from 1 species